AUCCAGCUGACGAGUCCCUAAUAGGACGAAACGCAUGUCCUGAAU
rnacentral:hammerhead_ribozyme from 1 species